GAUGAACGCUGGCGGCGUGCCUAAUACAUGCAAGUCGAGCGAACAGACGAGGAGCUUGCUCCUCUGACGUUAGCGGCGGACGGGUGAGUAACACGUGGAUAACCUACCUAUAAGACUGGGAUCACUUCGGGAAACCGGAGCUAAUACCGGAUAAUAUAUUGAACCGCAUGGUUCAAUAGUGAAAGACGGUUUUGCUGUCACUUAUAGAUGGAUCCGCGCCGCAUUAGCUAGUUGGUAAGGUAACGGCUUACAAAGGCAACAAUGCGUAGCCGACCUGAGAGGGGGAUGGGCCACACGGGAAGUGAGACGGGGUCCAGACGCAUACGGGAGGAAGCAGAAGGGAAUCUUCCGCAAUGGGCGAAAGCCUGACGGAGAAACGCGGCGUGAGUGAUGAAGGUCUUCGGAUCGUAAAACUCGGUUAUGAGGGAAGAACAAAUGUGUAAGUAAAUAUGCACGUCUUGACGGUACCGAAUCAGAAAGCAACGGCUAACUACGUG
rnacentral:rRNA from 1 species